rnacentral:rRNA from 1 species
AUUGAACACUGGCGGCAGGCUUAACACAUGCAAGUCGAGCGGGGUGAUGGUGCUUGCACUAUCACUUAGCGGCGGACGGGUGAGUAAUGCUUAGGAAUCUGCCUAUUAGUGGGGGACAACAUCUCGAAAGGGAUGCUAAUACCGCAUACGUCCUACGGGAGAAAGCAGGGGAUCACUUGUGACCUUGCGCUAAUAGAUGAGCCUAAGUCGGAUUAGCUAGUUGGUGGGGUAAAGGCCUACCAAGGCGACGAUCUGUAGCGGGUCUGAGAGGAUGAUCCGGCACACUGGGACUGAGACACGGCCCAGACUCCUACGGGAGGCAGCAGUGUGGAAUAUUGGCCAAUGGGGGGAACCCUGAUCCAGCCAUGCCGCGUGUGUGAAGAAGGCCUUAUGGUUGUAAAGCACUUUAAGCGAGGAGGAGGCUCUUUUGGUUAAUACCCAAGAUGAGUGGACGUUACUCGCAGAAUAAGCACCGGCUAACUCUGUGACAGCCGCCGCAGUAA